ensembl:lncRNA
CCAAUGGCGUGUCCAGCGGGGUGGCCUGGGGGGGCACAGGCCACCCCCAUAACCAGACUGGCCACCCCAGGUGCCACCCCAAAGGCAAAACAAUAAAAUUCAAUCAAAUAUCAAAUGUCCGAUUAUGUUUUCACGGUGAAGCUCAGAUAUCCGAUUGUAAGUGAAUGCAGCAUCCUUCUGCGCUAUGUGCAUCACGUUAGCAAAGGUAGGAGAGCCAAGCGCGAAAGAUGGCACUGCAGGAAACAAUUUUUCGGUGAAAGAAAAUGAGGACAGAAUAAAUGUCCCGGUAAGUAAUAUUAAGUUUGUUGAGUUUAGUAAACUUCGGUGAAAUUAGAAUACCAAGGAAAAAAUAACACUUAAAGAAUUAUUGCAGCCGUGGAAUAUUUCAGACAGUAUGCUACUGAGGGCAGCUAACAUAAGAGUUAUGAGUUAUAAGAUGUAAUCUAAGUCGUAACAUUGGAGCUGCAGAUUUGGUUGCAGGUUAACAUCGCUGGACUGGCCAUCGGGCUUAUUUGACUUAUUUUUUAUUUUUUUUGUAACGGCAUGAACAAUGAGAGGUGGUGGAUUGGCCAGAUGCAGGUCGAUGUGUAGAAAUAACUCCGUUGUUUGGUGGUGGCUAUGGCGGGGCUUCCACAGAGGCCAGCAGGUGGAUGAGGGAAGGGGAGGCAGGAGGAGAGACCCGAAGCAGCCACCAGUCCGAGUGUCAGGUGAACUGAACUUCAGGUAAGAAGUUAUGACCUGCAGUCUCUCUGGGUCAGAUAUAAACCAAGUUUAGGUGGAGUUUAUUUUAGUUGUGCUGACUUUUUACCGUCAGUUGCAAUAACUCAUACUGCGUUCUAGCCAGCUUGAUGGAGUUUUUAGGUGGGUGGGUGCUAUGAUGUUACUGAUAGUGAACUUUAUUUUAUUCAUAAGGUUAGUUAGUAGAGUUGCCAACGGCUCCUUAAAAAAAUGGAAUGGUCCCUCAUUCAGAGAAAAUAUUACACGUUUCGUAUUGAGCUGAGAAGAGACGCAGUUUGUCCCGAACUUCAGCUAGGAUGGAAAAAGACACAAAGCUGGAUUUAUUCUGUCGUUAUGCGGCACAGCUGCUUCUUCUCUCAUUCUCUCCCCCUCCCUCUCCUGUUGCUACUUCAAUCAUGAAACUGAUCAAUGAUCAGCUGAUCAGCUUUUCUCUCUUGUUUAUUUAUCGCCCACUUUGCGCCAGAAAGAGGAAACCAGCGGAUGUCGCGCUAAACAACAGCAGCACGUUUAAGCUUGAUCAGCUGUUGUUAGAAUGUAUUUAAUAUUAAUUUCUAGUAUCAGCUGAUGUUUGCUGGAGCCACAGCUGUAAAGCUGCUGGUCAUGAUGUCUGUUUAGAUAUGUGGUGAGAGGGAAACAUGAAACCAGGAGAUGUCCUUACUGAAUCAUCAGAGCUGAACAGGUGAUGGAGAAACAGGUUUACCUUUUAGGUGACAUGAAUGAGUUGAAGUUAUGAACUGUUUCUGAGAGACAAAUAACACCAGGAUCCUUUUUUAUGUAGC